CUUAUGGAUCCCUUGUGCAUGAGUUGGAAUAUUUUUUCCCAUUCGUUAUCCGUGAGUACUAUGUCCGCGUUUCUUUCCCAUCGUUCCGUAAAUCCCAGCGGUGCUUUGUCUCCGCUGUUUUGAAGCGUGGCAUAUAGGAUCGAGACUCCAUGUGUGAGGUGGUGCCUUUCUGUGCAUAGUUGUUCCAAGUAGAGCAGUGGGCGGUGCAGGUGGCCCCUGCCUUUUACAGCGGCAACGUACGUUUUUACUUGGUGGUAUCGGAAUUCGUCCAUGCUAUUUGGUCUGCGGUCUUGUAGUAGUUCUGCCAGUGUCUUUAGAUUCGGUCCGUCACACCAUUGGCUUAUGUAUACCCAGUCUGUAGCUCCCAGGUUCCUUAGGUCGGCAUGGCCAAGCCCUCCGCUAGUUUCGGGUUGUUAGUGAUAGGUGUAAGCGGGUUCCUGGUGUAACGCACCUUGCACCAGACCUGCAGCGUGGCAUUUAUCAUUGGGUUAUCCGUGCGUAGAUUCCCAAGAGAUGCUUCGCCCAGCCACAGCUGGGCGGGGAUUUUGCCUUGAGCUUGCUGUAGUUCUAUGUG